GUCGUGCUGAAGUCUAACCUGGUGCCUAACUCAUUUUGAAGACAGUGCCAAAACCUUGACGUGAAUUGUGGUCCUCUGUCGGAGACUAUUGUUACUGAAGCUCCAUGCAACCUGAUUAUCUCCACUACAUACACCUGAGCCAACUUAUCCACAGAGUAGUUAGCUUUAAUAGGAAUGAAGUGAGUAAUCUUGGUUAACCUAUCCACUAUAACCCAUAUUGAGUCAUGUUUAUUGGAGGCUACUAGUAACCCCAUAACAAAGUCCAUGGCCACAUUUUCUCAUUUUCACUCUAGAAAG
rnacentral:misc_RNA from 1 species